AACGGGGUCGUCUUUGCACACGCAUAACGGAGCCAAAUCGAAACCUCACUACGACGUUGCGGUGAUGAGGGAACCCAGCUUAGAUGGUCUGCACGUCGACGGAGAUACGGGCGAUGGUCCUGUCGUGGAUGAGCCUUCUCUGCGGCAGAAAGUUGCCGUUGCGGUCGGCAUUGCCUGCAUAAGCGGCUACAUUGGCUACAACCUCGUGUACAACCAGCAGGCGAGCGUGUCACAAGCUCUGUGGAGCAGAGAGGACGAGGAUGUAGCGCCUGCGUCAAUGCCUGUGCGGCCACGCGUGGCGCUCGUGAACAUGACGGGGAACUUGCGCUUGUGUGCUGUGGCAGGCCUGCGGGCGUGGCUGGACGUGGCAGAUGAGGUGGAGCUUGAGUUCCCCACUGUGACCUUUGUAGAGGAUGACGAAGCCGGCGCGAUUGUUGGGCUUGCUGCAGAGGUGCGAAGGGCUACUCUGUUCGCGUGGGUAGAGCUGAAGGAGCGCCACGAGAUGAAUGCGCCCUUUGACGUGAAACCGUUCUGCUGUGUCGUGUUUCGCAGCAUAACUGAGGUGGAUGGACAAGCUCUCGAUGCAUGGGAUGUACAGGAAAUGGAGUUGUAUCGAUGGCACGGGAAGCGGUUUGUAACGCGUCACUGUGUGGGUGCCUCAGUCGACGGCAAGCGCGCGAUGGUGCUCAUGCACGACGUUGAGGGAGUUAUUGACGUGAGGCCGGCAGCGGCUCGUGCUGGUGGUCGUGUGAGUGAUUGCGGAGCUCUAGUGCGCCAGUAUGGUGCACCGAGCGCAGCGAGUUUUCGUCGAUGGAAGCUGAGCGCUGAAGCGCCGUCAUCGUGUACCCCCGUGCAGCCGCCCGCGAAGUCGCUCCUGGGACUUGGAAUGCGCCGGCGAGACGGCCAGCGUUGCCAACUUUGGCAAAGCCCAUUGCUCAUUUUCGCAGCACUUGGCUCAGUGCUGCGCUACAACCGCGCCGAUGUCGCCGUCUAUCCCAAUCACAUCACUACGCCGGUGCCGGUGUCGCAGAGUGCGAGUGCCGUGAGCGCCUCGUGGUGGGGCUGCAUGAAGGAGUUGGCACGCCGAUGCACUUCGCCGCUGCUGCAUCGGUACGCGGCACGGCAAAGCGCGCGCAUGGAGCGUCAGCGGCAGCUCUCUUCCACUUUUGUUGUCGUCGUAAGCCUCGCCGAGGAAAGCGCGGCUGUGACAUCAGACGUGCUACGCGUCGUCGAGGAGCACGUAGCCGAGUGGAUGCGCGACAUGAACGGCGCUUCACCAAUGAAGAUACCUUUGCCGACCGCGAAUCGAGUUUGCGUACGAGACGCAGCGGCACGACCGGAGAAGCUCAUGAUGGCGCCGACGAUACAAGUGGACUUGACCGACACCAUCUGUAGUGUCAUUGCGGCUGAGUGGCUUUUGAUCCGACUCACCAGCCUUUUCGCAGCUUUGGGACUUGAGCCUGCCCUCGCCCAGCUUGUCGCUGUGCCUGGGCCGCAGGCGAGCACCUCACUUCUAUACCCGACACCGAAGACCGCACACCUGCGCCAUCUGUGGCUGUCACGAUCGGCACCGGCCUCCUCAUCGACGAGCACUGAUAAAGAUGCAACAUCGCCUUGCAUGACAAGGACUGGUUGCACCACACAAGGAGGCCACUUCGCGGGGUGCGCUGCUACUAUGCCGAUCGAGGCUGGAUUCGUCGUUAGCGAGCACGACUUCUCGGCCUUCUAGUCAAAGGGGAGCAGCACUCUCUUCUUCGGCUACCUGACCACCACACAUCGCCUUAUGACGCAGGUAGGGGCGAAAAGACACCUCAGUGCGUGGUAUCUCGGUGCUCAGUACACCCCUACUCGCUCUGUCGGCGCGGGGGAGGGAGUGGGGGCGGGGAAGCCAAGCAGCCCUCCCUUCCUGUGCCUGCGAAAUGCCGAGCCCACCGCUGGUGAUGACAGGGUGAAGCGCCUGCCGCCUAGGCAGGUGGGUGCGACGUAUCACUGCGGAUGUCGGUGGUCAGGUCCUGGACGGGGAUGCGUCGGAGCGACCGGCGACAGAGAGCACGCUUGCGCCACCCAUGCGAUGGGCCGAGGUGCCAGCAUGGCUCGAGUGCAUCUCACGCGCCCCUCGCACUGCCUACUGGUUGGGGCAGCCUGGGCGUCACGCCGAGGUGUAGGGACGAGGGGGGGUGGUGAUGGUGGUGCACCCGGGGUGGCGACUGGCAUGAUGGGGGAGCGGCUAUGAGGCGACCCGCGGAGCGGGGAGGGGUGGGCGCAUCUCGAGACGGAGGCCGUGCUGAGGUGGCUGGGUCGGGGCAUUGCUUGCAUGCGUGCGUGUCUCGGGCUGCUUCGCGCCAGGCGAUGGGGCCUGUGGCACGCCGGGGGCCGAGCGGAGCUUGGCUCAUGCUGUGUGGCAGCGAAUGGACACACGCUAGGGACGAAGCAAGAAGAGCACGACCGGACGCCUCCAAGUGAUGUGCCGCACACGUGUGGGACGAUUUAGUUUUUGGAAGUGCGGCUCGUAGAGCAGCACCCCCUCAGCGACAACAUUUUGGUACAAAGAUGCCUUGCUCCUUCUGCCCGCUCCCUUAAAGCGUGAUGCGUAAGAGAACGGGAGAGGCCGGCGCGGUGCUGCGGCUUGGCUGUCGGUAAAGAGAAGGGAGCUGGAUGGGGGUAGUGCUCAACGUGGGGAGACGCGAGCCUCAGCAAACCGCACCCGCUGAUGGAGCGUCGUUUCUUUUUCGAAGCAGCUACAGAAGAGUGCGCAAGGCCACUACCGUCCACGGAUGCUGUUCGGGCCGACGGCAACGUGCUUCUUGUUUUUUGCUGUCCACUGUUUUAUCCCAGGCCCUUCUCCCCCCGAUGGGUGUAAGGGGCCGAUGAAUGGAGGACGUGAACACUAGGCGCGUGGAAUACGAGAAAGAAAAACGCGCUUCACGCCGCGCCUCUGUGCGUGGUUCCUCAUCGCUUUCUCUUUCCAGCUGUCGCCUCCCUCUCCCCGUGACUGCGUCCGAGUGCCCGUGAUUUCGUUUUACUCUCGUUUACCGUUGCCUUUGGUUGCUUCUUUUUAUUUUUUGGUGCGGUGACGGCCCCCGUUUUCACCCUCUGCACAACGCGUGUCCUCGCGGUGGAGAUGAGCGGCGAUGUGGGCCUCGACGUAGAGGCGACGUGGACGAACUGCAAAGCGGCGGCGGCCAAGAUGAACCGUGGCGGUGCAGCGACGCACUUUGGCGCGUCUCCGGUGUCGAGUGCGCUGCCCAGAACGUCUUCCUUGUCCGCGUACGGUCGAAUAGGCGAAAACGGAGCUGUGAACUGACGGCAGCAGACGUGCGCCGCGGCACAUGUGCUGCCGAGCUGACGAACGCCAAUUUUCUGCUUUGCUGAGAAAGGUGAGUGGCGCUAUGGGUGUUUACCUGCAACAGGACUUUCACUGCAGCGUUCCACGGGAGGUAUGCGGUGAUGCGCUCUUUUUCUCAGAUUCUCAAUGUGAUAAGCCGUGGAACUACACUGGUACUGCUUGCAGAGAGCCCUCGUUCGUGCCGGAGUAGCGCGCACGGUGCGUCCCAGCGUGGUGGAGCUUGCUGCACGACUGGAAGCAGAGUAACACGCUGGCGUAGGUGAUGCAGGAGCCACGGAGCUUUCGCAGCUGCAAAGGCGUGAGCGGUCUGCUCUGCUUUACCCGGUGCGCCGCAGCGUUGUGAAGGAUGCGAUGCGAAAUGUUGUGUGCUGCGUUUCGUGAAUAACGGCGGAGAAGUGUAUGGGCGCAGUGGAUCUUCCCCUGCUCUCCAUUGUUGACGCCACGGUGGGCUGAGACUCGUCUUCUCCACCGAGAAACUGCUCGUGCACGUACACGCGAUCCUUGCGACACCUACACUGCGUACAACACCCCACAGCGAAACGUACGAGCACCUAGCCAAUGCCCGCGGGACAGCUUCUUUCGAUUGCGGGGGGGGGCAAGGUGCCGUUGCCGGGGAGACAUUGACCACUCUGAGGCUCGACUGAAUGCGAUGCACUGCUGACGCUGAAGUGCUGCGGACAAUCAAUUUCCUGCCCCCUCCCCCCUUGCCCCUUAUCACUUCUGCAACAAGGGCUCUGCCUCACCGCUGGCGAGGCUGUACGUGGAUGUGACAGUGCAACGGCGUGCCUCCGACUCUAUCUGUCCAAGGAGGUCGUGCCUUCUACCCUGUUGCUUUCCCUCUUCACCGUGCGACCUCUCCGGAACUGUUUACACUGCCGCAACUCAAAAG
rnacentral:misc_RNA from 1 species